rnacentral:rRNA from 1 species
AAGCCUUUUUUUAUAUAUAUGUUUUUUUCCCCGUCAGGAUGAACGCUGGCGGCGUGCCUAAUACAUGCAAGUCGAGCGAAUGGAUUAAGAGCUUGCUCUUAUGAAGUUAGCGGCGGACGGGUGAGUAACACGUGGGUAACCUGCCCAUAAGACUGGGAUAACUCCGGGAAACCGGGGCUAAUACCGGAUAACAUUUUGAACCGCAUGGUUCGAAAUUGAAAGGCGGCUUCGGCUGUCACUUAUGGAUGGACCCGCGUCGCAUUAGCUAGUUGGUGAGGUAACGGCUCACCAAGGCAACGAUGCGUAGCCGACCUGAGAGGGUGAUCGGCCACACUGGGACUGAGACACGGCCCAGACUCCUACGGGAGGCAGCAGUAGGGAAUCUUCCGCAAUGGACGAAAGUCUGACGGAGCAACGCCGCGUGAGUGAUGAAGGCUUUCGGGUCGUAAAACUCUGUUGUUAGGGAAGAACAAGUGCUAGUUGAAUAAGCUGGCACCUUGACGGUACCUAACCAGAAAGCCACGGCUAACUACGUGCCAGCAGCCGCGGUAAUACGUAGGUGGCAAGCGUUAUCCGGAAUUAUUGGGCGUAAAGCGCGCGCAGGUGGUUUCUUAAGUCUGAUGUGAAAGCCCACGGCUCAACCGUGGAGGGUCAUUGGAAACUGGGAGACUUGAGUGCAGAAGAGGAAAGUGGAAUUCCAUGUGUAGCGGUGAAAUGCGUAGAGAUAUGGAGGAACACCAGUGGCGAAGGCGACUUUCUGGUCUGUAACUGACACUGAGGCGCGAAAAGAGCCGCC